rnacentral:rRNA from 1 species
GUGGGGAAUAUUGGACAAUGGGCGCAAGCCUGAUCCAGCCAUGCCGCGUGAGUGAUGAAGGCCUUAGGGUUGUAAAGCUCUUUUGUCCGGGAAGAUAAUGACUGUACCGGAAGAAUAAGCCCCGGCUAACUUCGUGCCAGCAGCCGCGGUAAUACGAAGGGGGCUAGCGUUGUUCGGAAUCACUGGGCGUAAAGUGCACGUAGGCGGACCAUUAAGUCAGGGGUGAAAGCCUGGAGCUCAACUCCAGAACUGCCUUUGAUACUGAUGGUCUCGAGUAUGGAAGAGGUUGGUGGAACUGCGAGUGUAGAGGUGAAAUUCGUAGAUAUUCGCAAGAACACCGGUGGCGAAGGCGGCCAACUGGUCCAUUACUGACGCUGAGGUGCGAAAGCGUGGGGAGCAAACAGGAUUAGAUACCCGAGUAGUCC